GUAUAGCUCAGUGGUAGAGUGCAUGCCUAGCAUGCAUGAGGUCCUGGAUUCAAUCCCCAGUAC
rnacentral:tRNA from 1 species